UACGUAGGGACCGAGCGUUGUCCGGAUUCAUUGGGCGUAAAGAGCUCGUAGGCGGCUGUUCAAGUCGAACGUGAAAACUCGGAGCUCAACUCCGAGCCUGCGUUCGAUACUGGACGGCUAGAGUCUGGUAGGGGGAUCUGGAAUUCCUGGUGUAGCGGUGGAAUGCGCAGAUAUCAGGAGGAACACCGGUGGCGAAGGCGGGUCUCUGGGCCGUAACUGACGCUGAGGAGCGAAAGCGUGGGGAGCGAACAGG
rnacentral:rRNA from 1 species